CCUACAUUGGGCUGCACUGCUGCCAGAUCAGUGUUGAAUUACAGUGCAGCCCUGUAACAACAUGGAUCACUGAGAUAACAGCAGCAGGCCGCAUCUUAUCUGACCAGUCUGCAGGAAUGAGGCCUACACCCAAGAAUUGGCCAGAAGUGGCUCCCUUGUUUGCAUAGAAAUUGACAGUUCCAGGCCCGCUGAUAUGUUAUCUGAUUUGGAACCAAGGAAUAAGCCGGUUACAGUGGUGCCGAAACCCAGGAGGGAGGAGGGAUGCGCUGUCGCGGAGUCCUCGCCACUGCCAUCCGCCAGGGGAGCAGCCGCGGCCAUCUGCCUGAGGUUGGAGGGGCCGCUGCUGGCCGCAGAAAGCCAGAUGAACUGCUGCCAUCCGCCGAAGAAGGGGAUGAGCAGUUCUGUCCGCCAGGGGCCUGAGAACUCACUACCGUCCGUCGGGGGAGGAGUGAGCUGUCGUCCCCAAGAGGGCAGACGAGCGGUUGAGGACCUUGCGACAGCAUGUCCGGGAACCGGCAAGCAAGUUUUCCUCUCUCUCUCCUCUCUCUCUCUGUGUCUCUCGCUCACCCUUUCACUCUCCCCACGCCUCCCUAUGGUCUCUCCCCCAGGUUCCCAGGAGGCGGGGUGGACCACCGGCUGACAGAACGGCCAGAAGGGCAGUGUCUCCCCUCCAGAGAUGGGGGGGGAGUAGGUCAGUCCGGUGGCGCCCUGGCCUGAAUCGGGCGGGAGAGGAGUGUGAUGAGGAGGAGGGCGUGGCCGGGCCGUGAGGACGCACGGAUGGUGCUGAGUCAGGUGAUCAGUGGGAGAGCGAGAUAAAAGGGAGCCAGAGACGCCAGUUCGAGAGAGAGAGAGAGAGAGAGACGAACGUGGCCGCGCUGCAUAUGGGGUCCUCGCAGAGGUAAACGCCUGGAGACUGGCCAUCCUGCAGACUGCCUGUUGCCACCUCAGACAGCAGAUCUUUCAGGUUCUCGUCUUUUCCCCACACCUCCACCGCUGACACUCGCACAGAAAACCGUGCACCUGUCUUUUCCUUGCACUCGUUGAUCAGUUUGAAGAGCCAGGAGAUGGCACAAGUAAUUUGUCCAUUACCUAGUUUGGAGUGCCCAAAGCAAAAUACACAGCCAUCUGCUCCAUUCACCACGGACUGGAUGACUUCAGCCACAGUUCCUGCACAAACCUCUGCCUGCCAGGAAACAGACAAUAGCCAGUUAAACUCAGAUACAGAUCCCUUCAGAGAUACUUUAGCAUUAGGGAUGCGCAUACAAGCCCUCAGUCCAGCCUCUCUCAGCCUACUGCAGACAGUCUGAGCACUGAUGGAGGGAUUGUGCAUUCCUGGUGUAACUUGGGCAGUUGUUGUUGCCAUCCUGUACCUGUCCCACAGGUGUGGUAUUUGGAUGUACAGAUACUGUGCAGGUGUUGUUACACUUGGUCUACCACUGCGAGGACGAUCAGCUGUCCUUUCUGUCUCUCUGUAGUGCUGUCUUAGGCAUCUCACAGUACGGACAUUGCGAUUUAUUGCCCUGGCCACAUCUGCAGUCCUCAUGCCUCCAUGCAGCAUGCCUAAGGCACAUUCACGCAGAUGAGCAGGGACCCUGGGCAUCUUUCUUUUGGUGUUUUUCAGAGUCAUUAGAAAGGUCUCUUUAGUGUUCUAAGUUUUUAUAACUGUGACCUUAAUUGCCUACUGUCUGUAAGCUGUUAGUGUCUUAAUGACUGUUCCACAGGUGCAUGUUCAUUAAUUGUUUAUGGUUCAUUGAAAAAGCAUUGAAAACAUUGUUUAAACCCUUUACAAUAAAGAUCUGUAAAGUUAUUUGGAUUCUUACAAAAUUAUCUUUAAAAUACAGUGUCCUAAAAAAGGGACGUUUCUAUUUUUGCUGAGUUUAUAAAUAGUAAGAGUAGUGUGGAGGAUGCUACAUAAUAGCAGUUCAGUGCUGUAGAGUAACUAAAGCCUACUGGUUAUUUAAAAAGUGGACAAGCCCUUCAAUAUGUCCCUCCAAAACUUCCUGUUUCAACAGGAUAUAUUUCAACACAGGAAAGAAAUGCACAUGCUCUUUAGUGGCUAACAAUUUCUACAGCACUAACUUUAGAAAUUGUACCUAUCCCUCACCUGAGAGGCAUCAUGAGAGAAGGCAGCAUCAAAUGCAAACAUCUUGGGAGGAACCUGGUUGGAGCUGCCAUGUUUCUGAGUUUGAUUCUGCUGAGAGUUAGCUGCAGGGUCCAUGAUGGUCACCUGCUUCCUACGAGA